UCAAAUAAAUAAUUUAAUGAUUUAUUACAUUAUUUUAAAAAUAUAUUACAAAGAAAAUAAUAAACCUUAUUAGUUAUUUUAAAUUUAAAACAUUAUUACAUUUUAUAAUGUCCGCGCAACGUGCGGGUACGUAUACUGGUAUGAAAUAUAGAGAGCAACAUCUACAAGGAAAGGCUCAUAAACUUCUGUUGAAUAGUGUUCCAAAAGAGAAGACGCAAGAAAAGAUGAUUUGUUGGAGGUACCAGAGAUGAGGUUUACUUCGUUACAAAGAUUAUUGACAUCCGACAACAGAAACUGCAUUGUCUAUACCCAUACAAUCAUUACCCUGGUAAAACAGAGAAAGAAAUUGGCAUAAUCUAAGCAGGAAGACCCCGGAUACCUCGAGAAACCAACAAAAGUGAGAACUCACAGCAAAUUCACAAUUCAAAAUAGAUCUGCAAAACCGAGAGAUGGAUUUCGUGCGCCAUAAGCUCACCCUUCAGGUCUCACUUCGAGCACAGGAGGCCAAGCUUUCUGACGGACGUUCUUUUCUGCAACUCACAAAUCUGCUCAUAUUCCAUACCUAUAUAGCAAAAUCAGAAAACUUAAUACAACUGCACCAACAAAUCCAGACCUAUCAAAUUCUGUAAAUACCCAAAAAUUGUCAACCAGGUAACAUAAGAAUAGUUUCAUUAUGGCAGAAACAUCAUAAUAAAACAUCCUUAACCCCUCCACCCAAACUUCCAACAGCCACAAUCAAAGACCAGAAACCUGCAUCCGGGAGAAAAUGAAAGCCAUCGGAUCAGAUAAGACAACUGGCAGGAGAAAAGAACUCGAGUUGACACUCCUCCCCAUUCCGACCAAGCAAGGAAUUUAAUAGAGGGCAAUGGGAUGAAACAAAUGAGUACAACAUUAAGUAGAGAUAUCAACUCUAUACCACCAAAGGUAGUUACAGUUUUCUGAAACAUGUAAGAUCACCAUCUAAAAUGGAUAAGAUCCCAGCCUAGUCUAUAAGAGGUUUUGAAAAGAAUGUUAUCGACAGUCGACGACAGAACAUUCUCAUUAUCACAUUAUGCAAGACCUGGUUAAAAUCUUGCACACGUUGACCCACCAUAACCAUCAGGUGGAGGCAGCCAACCAACAGCACUACAGGUGUUAAGGGGAGGGGGAGAAAGAAGAUAGGCCGAGCCGAGACUUGAUUACACAUAAUACCAAGAGAACUCCUAAGAACUUGAAUGCUUGUAACCACCACUGACGUGCAAAAUUCUCAGUUAAACUAACUACUAGAAGAGCACCACUCGAAGAGAGUGUGGUGAAGAAAGAUCAUAUUGAUUAAAGAAGAGAACAAAAAAAAAAGAACUGAACUGAAAAUCGGAUACUCAUAGAAGCUUGAACCGAACGAAACCUCAAUACAAAUCAACAAAGAAAGGCUGCUCCACGAAAAGAGAAAAUUUACUAUGUUUAGACCACAACUGCAAGCACAAAAUGAAUGAACAAUUAAGUGCAAAUCUGCCAAAACCCAGAGUGCUUGGGAAAUCACUAGAAAUGACAUAGACAAUAUUUAGAAACUCCCUAAUCUUGAAGCCCUAAACGAUACCAGAUUGCAGGGGAAACACCUAAACGACUAGCUUACUGAACACUACACUUUUAAAUUUCCAAAUCUAAUCCUCAAAUAGUGUUCACUAUGUGGAAUAUAUAUCUUUCCAAUAGACAAAACUCAAAACCUGUUGUGAUAAGAAAAAAUAAAAUGAAAGCAGAGAAGAUAAGCAGCAAGAACACAAAAGGUAGAUGAUGAAAACAUCCGGAACUGAGCGAGCACUUACCAGAUGUCCACACCACAAGAGAGACCUCAUCAAUUGGAUCAUCGCAAAACAAAAGCAUCUGGACUAAAAGCUGAAAAUACACUUGUGGAGAGAGUUAUUGUAGUUGAAAACUUCCACUUAACAGCACUUCUGACAACGAGAUAAGGGGAUCUCUAUGACCAUGGAAGAAAACUGAAUCGAAGAGCUAGAUACUAAUACAAGGCCUGAACAAAGGAAACUUCAACGCUAAGAUAAACAAGGCUGCUCCAUUAAAGGAAGACUAUCCUAAUCUUGAAAGACCCAACGACAGCAAGAACUAAAAGAAGGGAGCAGUUAAAGUUCAAGCUGCGAAACCAUGCCAUAUAGGGGAGAUCACUAGAGAUGCCAUACGAGAUUGCAUAACUCCCUUUGCCAGUGCUUGGUGAUAUCGAAAUUGCAGUGCCAAACAAGAUUGCAUAACUCUCUUGACAGUGCCUGGUGAUAUCCAAAUUACAGUGCAAGCGCAAGCUCCAAAAUUGCAAAGAAACAGGGUGCACAAGGAAAGGACACACACUGAAACCAAACUUCAGAAUUUCCAAAUAUGAUAUCCAAGCAAAACAAAAUAAAGUGCCAUGAUAAACAUAAAAGCAGUAAGAACACUAAAGUAGAGGAGCUCUUAGGGCCAUAAGAAGACCUAAAUUUGAGUUUGGGUACUUCUCAGGUGUCCAUAAAAAUCAGGGAUCUCGUCAUUUGGGUCAUCCAAGAAAAUAAGCAUCUAGACUAAAAACUUGAUGGCUGCAAAGUACAAACACACUAGUGGAAAAUUUUAUCAUUGUUGAGAAUUUCCACACAACAGUAGUUUUGACAAAGAAAGAAGGGACCCGUUGAUUAGGAAGAAAACCGAAGUUCAUGCUCUGGAAGACCCAAUGGUUACAUGCACAAAGAGAACAUAACAGGUAAGUGGAAACCCAUACCACGCAAGAUAAGAUAGCAAAGCCCCCUUUUCCUGGUGAUAUCCAAUAUCCAAAUUGUAGUGCCAGCACAAAAAUGGUAAGAAACAUGGUCCACAGGAAUGCACACCGAAACAAAACAACAAAAUAUCCUAAUCUCAUCCUCUUACUACCACCAUGUGGCCUACAAACAUUCAUCCAACCAACCUAAAUCAAAUGGUAGGCUAAAUGAAAUAAGAGAAGACAAGUAGCGAGAACACGAAAAGUAGAGGAGUGCAUUACAGGGCCAUCAAAAGAUCCAUGAUUGAGUUCGAUUACACUUAUCAUGUGUUGUCCAUAACCAUUGAGAUCUCAUCAGUUGGAUAACCAAAGAAUAUAAGCAUCUGGAUUAUUAAAAAUCAAAUAUGGUAACAAAAUACAGGCUAGUGAGGCAGUGUUGACAACAGAGAAGGGGACCAUUCUGUUUAGGGAACAAAACUGAAUUGAAGAUCUCAAUAAUCAUUAGAAGCAUCAACCAAAAAACCUCAACACGAAAUUGACAGACCAUGCCGCUCCAUGAAAGAAGAAUCUAUGGCUUUGUAAGACCCAGCGACUGCAAGCACAGAAAGAAUGGAAUAGUAAAUGCAAAGCUGGCGAACUAGGUACCACCUUCAUUCGAAACCUGAUAAUCUUCAGAUUGUAGUGCAAACACCAACAUGUCCAAGAAACAGGGGCAAAGGAAUGCACACUAGACACCAACCUUCAAAAACAUCUAAGUCCUAUUCCUCUCAACUGCCACCAUAAAUGCAUACAACAAACAAAAUCAGGCUAGCGUAAUACAAGAAAAGUGAAGCAGAGAAGAUGAGCUGCGAGAACACAAAAAGAGAUACGAGAUUCUCAAAAUAUCCAAAAUUGAGUACUUGUCAGGUGUCCAUGAGACCAUAACCAUCAACCAUCAGGAAUCUCAUCAAUGGGUCAUUGAAGAAAAUAAGCAUCUGGACUAAAAACUAAAAAUGGCAGUAGAAUACAACACACACUAUUGGGAAAAAAGCUAUUUUAGUUGAAAAUGUCAGAACUCAUAAAAGCCUGAACCAAGAAACCUUGACAUAAAUGGACAAAGAGAACCGCUCCAUGAAAAGAAUAAUUAAUUGCACUGUAAGACCCAAUGGCUUCAAGCAAAAAAAAAUGGGUACAAAUCAAGUCCAAAGUUGACGAAACCCAUACAAUCUAAGAAAUCACUAAAGAUGCUAUAUAGACAAGAAUUAAAACCCGUUUUUGGUUCAAGCCCUGACCAAUAUAUCCAGAUUGCAGUGCAAGACCCAAAUAGACCAAGAGGGUAUAGAGAUACCAUAUUGGAUAUCAACCUUUGAAAUCUCUAAAUGUUAACCUCUAUUACAAUCACCAUAUAAUCUACACAUGCAUCCAAACAAAAACUAAGAAGUUUUUGUAACCAAAAGAAGAUGUCAACAAAGAACAAAUAUAGCUAGAAGACCAGAAGUAGAGGAGCACUUUAUGACGCUGUCAAAAGAAAAGAUUCGGAGUUGGCCGAGUACUUAUCAAGUAUCCAUAGCCGUAAGAGACCUCAUCGAUUGAAUCAUUGAAGAAAAUAGUGUCUGAAUUAAAAACCUCAUACGGGUAAAACAUAUUAUCUUAGUGAGAAACUGCCAUAGAACAAUAGUUUUGAUAUAGAAAAGGGAAAACUGAAUCGAAAAUCUCGAUACUCAUAAAUGACUCAAGCUAAAGAAACCUUAACACAAAAAAACAAACACAGCCACUCCAUGAAAAGAAUAAUUCAAUGCCCUGUAACCAAUGGCUGCAAGAACAGAAAGAAGGGAAUAGUAAAAUGCAAAUCUGGAAAACCCCAAACCACUUAAGUAACACUGGAGAUGCCAUAGACGAGACUGAAACCCCAUUUUUUCAAUGCCAUAACAAUGUCACCACAUGGUCUACACAUCCAUACAACAACAACAAAACUAGUGUGAUAACGAAAAAUAUAAGAAAGCAGAGAAGAUAAGAAAGUAUCUAGAAGAAUAAAAGUAAAAAGGUAGUUUAUGAUACUAUCAAAAGAUCUAGAAUUGGCUGAGUACUUAUCAAGUGUCCAUAGCCAUAAGAGACCUCAUCAUUUGUGUCACAACCCGAGCCUACACCUGGACGUGGCCGGCUCUCGAAACCCCACUGUUCUGAGUGCUGGCACUCGGAACCCCACUGUUGGUCCCAAGCAAACCCUUGUCCUAGCUAACUACUGAGAGGAAGACUAAACAUACAUGCGGAAGCCGUAUAAAAUGAACAUUUAAAAUCACUUAAAGAUAUCCCAUGCAAAAGUCUGAAACAAUAACAAUAAUAAUAAUAUAAUAAUAAUGAUGUUUAAAACUUCUGAAUACUAAAGACUGAACUGACGCAUUAACUUUGACUAUUUAUGAAGCCUCUACUAACUGAAGAUAGGUGUCGGGACAAGACCGACGGCUACCUGGCUACCCACGGAAUCUCUAUGACCAGGGAAGAAAACUGAAUUGAAGAGUUAGAUACUAAUACAAAGCCUGAACUAAGAAACUUCAACACUACAACAAACAAGUCUACUCUAUGAAAUGGAGUUCAUGGAGACUUUACUGAUCUUGAAAGAUCCAACAACAGCAAUCACAAAAAGAAGGUAACAGUUAAAGUGCAAGCUGUGAAACCAAUACCACAUAGGAGAGAUCACUAGAGAUGCCAAAAAAGAUUGCACAACUCCCCUGCUAUUGCCUAGUGAUAUCCAAAUUGCAGUGCAAGCGCAAUCGCCAAAAUGGCAAAGAAACAGGGUGCACAAGGGAAUGACAAAACCAUACUUCGAAAUUACCAAAUUCGAUCCCCCUCUAGUCACCAUGUGGUCUACAAACAUGCAUCCAAACAAACAUAAUCAAGUGGCAUGAUACACAUGAGAAAAUAGAAGCAGAGAAAAUAAGUACCAAGAACACCAAAGUAGAGAAGCCCUUGGGAAAAUUGAGUUUGGGUACUUCUCAGGUGUCCAUAUCAAAUCAGGGAUCUCAUCAUUUAGAUCAUCCAAGAAAAUAAGCAUCUAGACUAAAAACUUUAUGGUUGCAGUGUACAACACGCACUAGUGGAAAAUAUUAUCAUUGUUGAGAACUUCCACAUAACAAUAAUUUUAACAAAGAGAAAAGGGACCCACUGAUUAGGAAGACAACUGACUUGAAGUCCAUGCUCUGGAAGACCCAAUGGUUACAUGCACAAAAAAUAAUGUAACAGGUGAGUGGAAAACCAUACCACACGGGAGAGAUCACUCGAGAUGCCAAACAAGAUAAGAUUGCAAAGUGCCCUUUUCUUAAGGCAUGGUGAUAUCCAAUAUCCAAAUUGCAGUGCAAGCACCAAAAUGGUCAACAUGGUCCACAAGGAUGCACACCGAAACCAAAAUUAUAAAUUCAUCCAACCAAACUAAAUAAACUGGUAGGUUAAAUGAAAUCAGAGAAAGGUAAGUAGAGAGAACACGAAAACUAGAGAAGUGUGUUACAAGGCUAUUAAAAGAUCCAUCAGAAGAUCCAAGACUGAGCUUGAUUACACUUAUCAUGUGUUGUCCAUAACCAUGGAGAUCUCAUCAGUUGGAUCAUCAAAGAACAUAAGCAUCUGGAUUAUUAAGAAACAUAUAUGGCAACAAAAUACACACCAGUGAAGUAUUGUUGACAAGGAAGAACGGAACCAUUCUGAUUAGGGAAUAAAACUGAAUUGAAGAUCUCAAUAAUCAUUAGAAGCAUCAACCAAAAAACCUCAACACAAAAUUGACAGACCACGCCACUCCAUGAAAAGACGAAUCUAUGGCUCUGUAAGACCCAGCAGCUGCAAGCACAUGAAGAAUGGAACUGUCUAAGUGCAAAGCUUGUGAAGCUCGUACCACCUAGGAAUUCACUACGAAUGCCAGACAAGAUUAAGAAUCACCUUCUUUCGAAGCCUGCUAUCUCUAGAUUGUAGUGCAAGCACCAACAUGCCCAAGAAAUAGGGUGCACAGGAAUGCACACUGGACACCAACCUGCAAAAUAUUGCAAGUCGUAUUCCUCUCAACUUAUCACCAUACAGCCAUCCAACAAACAAAAUCAAACUAGCAUAAUACAAGAAAAAGGAAGCAUGAAUGAUGAGUAGUGAGAACACCAAAAGAGACUACCAUUUUACGAGGCUUUCAAAAGAUCCAAAAUUGAGUACUUGUCAGAUGUCCAUGAGACAAUAACCAUCAACCAUCAUGAAUCUCAUCAUUGGAUCAUUGAAGAAAACAAACAUCUGGACUAAAAACUAAACAUGCCAGUAGAACAACACAUACUAAUGGGAAAAAAACUAUUUUACUCGAAAAUGUUAGAACUUAUAAAAGCUUGAACCAUGGAAACCUCGACAUAAAUGGACAAAGAAAGCCGCUCCAUGAAAAGAAUGAUUCAUCACUCUGUAAGACCCAAUGGCUGCAAGCAUAAAAAAAUAAGGGUCAAUCAAUUCCAAAGCUGAAAAACCCAUACCAUCUAACAAAUCACUAGAUAUACCACAUAGAUGAGAUUUAAAACCCCAUUUUGUUGAAGCCCUGAGCACCAAAAAGAACAACCGGAUAAAGAGAUUCCAUACUGGAUAUCAAACUUUGAAAUCUCCAAAUCUUAACCUCUAUUGUUGUCACCAAACAAGAAAAACCAAGUUUGUGAUAACCAAAAGAAGAUGGAAGCAUAUAAUAUAUAUAGCUAGAAGACCAGAAAUAGAGGAGCCUUUAUGGUACUGUCAAAAGAAAAGAUCUAGAAUUGGCCGAGUACUUAUCAAGUGUCCUUAGCCAUAGAAGACCUUAUCAAUUGGAUCAUCGAAGAACAUAAUGUCUAUAGGGAUGGCAAUGGGGCGGGGCGGUGCACAAGCCGGGGGGUUAAGCUUAACUUGCAAAUUUUUUAAUCUGCCCCGCCCUGCAUAACUUCUUAAAUUCUCAACCCGCCCCACAUAAUUUUUUUAACAUUUUCUUUUUCUAGUUAAGUUUGAUACUAAAAAUGGAAAAGAGUCAAAAUUGCCCCUGAACUAUGCGAAAUAGACCACUUAUACCCUUCGUUACAUUUUGGGAUAAAAAAUGCCCCUGUCGUUAUCCUAAGAGACCACAAAAUACCCUCAAGAGUUAACACCCCCAAAUUUUUAGUGACAUGGUAAGCCACGUGGGGAACUAAUCCUUCCACCUAAGCGUUGCCAACUAGGAUUCACUACAAAAGAACUAGACCUUUAGCGGCGACAACAGUCGCCACAAAAUCCCAGAAAAUCGUCACUAAAGGUUUUUAACAAUAAAUUCUGAUUUGCGUGUUUUUUCUUCAUUGUUUUUAAAAAACCAAAAAUGAUAUCGAUUAAGGAGGAGUGUGAAGACACUAUAUGUUUUAUUUUUAUAUCAUAUGUAAAUGUAUAAGUUGUAUGAUGAUGCAUUAUGUAGUAGGAGAUUUGAAACAAGAAGUAAUUUUGAUGAUUUUCAUAAUAAUAUUGGAUGUUUUUAAUGUUAAUAGUCCAAGUUAUUUAUUUUAGAAUAUUAGGUUGCAAUCGAAAAUUAAUUAUCAUAUUAUUUUGUUGAAAAAAUAGGAAUUACUAGCAAAUGGUUAUUGCAGCCUUAGUCGCCACUAAAAAUCGCUCAUAACCUUUAGUGGCAAUAUUUUGGGAUUUUGUGGCGACUGUUGUCGCCGCUAAUGGUCUGGUUCUUUUGUAGUGAAUCCAAGUUGGCAACGUUUAGGUGGAAGGAUUAGUCCCACGUGGCUUGCCAUGUCACUAAAAAUUUGGGGUGUUAACUCUUGAGGGUAAUUGUGGUCUCUUAGGAUAAUGGCAGGGACAUUUUUUAUCCCAAAAUGUAACGAAGGGUAUAAAUGAUCUAUUUCGCAUAGUUCAGGGGCAAUUUUGACCCUUUUCCGUACUAAAAAUAAAACUCAUAAAAAUAAAUUCAUUUUUUCAUUAAGUUGUAUUAGUUUAAUAGAUAAUUACUUAAACGUUUAUUUUUUAGAGGUCAAUUGGGAAACAUGUAAGAAAUUGUAUUAUUUUUUAUUGAACCAUUUUGAUUUACUAUAUUGAAUAUUUUAGUAGCUUUAAAGAAAGUAUCUUAAUAAAUAAUGUUUUGUCACUCUUAUAACAUGUAAAAAGCUCAAAUUAAGUUUGAACCCAUAUAAAAUCACAUUUACCCCUGCAACCCGUCUCACACCGCAUUAGUUUUAAAAAUUCCACUUCAACCCACCCUGCAUCCCUCCCGCCCUGCCCCCCGUAGCCUUAAACCUGCCCCGCCCCAUUGCCAUCCUUAAAUGUCUAGAGUAAAAACUUCACGGCAGCAGAACACAACACACAAUGGUGAAAAAUAUUAUCUUAGUUGAGAAACAUCCAUACAAUAGUACUUUCUAUAGUACAACGGGAGCCAUAAGAGAAGAACACUGAAUCGAAAAUCUCGAUACUCAUAAAAGAUUAAACUAAAGAAACCUCAACACAAACAGACAAACACGACCGCUCCAUGAAAAGAAUAAUUCACUGCACUGUAACCAAUGUGGUUGCAAGAACAGAAAAAAUGGAACAGUUAAGUGCAUAUUUGACGAACCCCAAACCACCUAAGUGAUCACUAGAAAUGCCAUAGACGAGACUAAAAGUACCCCUUUGUCAAAGCUCAGACAAUAUCCAGAUUGUAGUGCAAGCACCAAAAAGACUAAAAGGUGGCACAGAAUCACAUGUUGAUAAACCAAGCUUUGAAAUUACAAAAUCUGAACGUCCAAAACAGUGUCACCACAUGGUCCAUUCAACUAGAAAAAACUUGUGUGAUGACAAAAAAUAUAUGGAAGCAGAGAAGAUAAGUACCUAGAAGAAAAAAAGUAAAAGAAGUACUUCACGCCACUAUCAGAUGAUGUAGAAUUGGUUGAGUUAUCAAGUGUCCAUAGUCAUAGGAGACGUCAUUAAUUGGAUCAUCGAAGAACAAAGCCAUCUGGACCUAAAUCUUCUUGGCGGCAGAAUACAACACACGCCAGUGAAGAAUAAUGUCCUGUUUAAGAAACUUCCACACAUCAAUAGUUUUGACAAAGACAAAGGAGCCAUUAGGAAAGAUAACUGAAUCAAAAAUCUUGAUACUCACAAAAGACUUGACUAAGGAAACCUCAACACAAAUGGACAAACAUGACUGCAUCGUCAAAAGAAUAAUCCACUGCCCUGUAAUCAAUGGCUACAAGAAUAGAAAGAAGGGAACAAUUGAGAGCAAAUCUGACAAACUAACCACCUAAUUAAUCACUAUAGAUGCCAUAGACGAGACUAAAACCCCCUUUCGUCAAAACCCAAACAACAUCCAAAUUGCAGUGCAAAGCACCAAAAGACCAAAAGGUGGCAGAGGAUCACAUGUUGGCUAACCAAGAUUUGAAAUUUCUAAAUUUGAACGUCCAUAACAGUGUCACCACGUGGUCUACACAUCCAUCCAACCAAAAAUAGCUAAUGUGAUAACGAAAAAGAAAUGGAAGUGGAGAAGAUAAGUAGCUGCAAGAAUAGAAGUGAAGAAGUAUUUUACGCAACUAUCAAAAGAUCCAAAAUUAGCAGAGUACUUACCAAGAAUCGAUAGACAAAUGAGACCUCAUCAAUUGGAUCAUCGAAGAACAUAAGCCAUCUGGACUAAAAACCUCAUGGCAGCAAAAUAUAACACAUGCUAGUGAAAAUUAAUAUCUUAGUUGAGAAAACCUUCCAUACAAAACAAAGGAGCUAUUAAGGAAGAAAACUAAAUCCGUAAUAUCGAUACUCAUAAAAGACUUAACUAAAAAAAACCUCAACACAAACAAUCAAACACGGCCCCUCCAUGAAAACAAAAAUUCACUUCCCUAUAACCAUUGGCUGCAAGAACAGAAAGAAGGGAACAGUUAAAUGUAAAUCCGACAAACCCCAAACCACUUAAGUAAUCACUAGAGAUGCCAUAUAUGUGACUAAAAACUCCAUUUUGUCAAAGCUCGGACAAUAUCUAGGUUGUCGUGCAAGCACCAAAAAGAUCAAAAGGUGGCAGAGGAUCACAUGUUGGUUAACCACGCUUUGAAAUAUCCAAAUUUUAACAUCCAUAACAGUAUCACCACAUGAUCUACACAUCCAUCCAACCAAAAAUAACUAGUGUAAUAACGACAACGAAAUGGAAGCAAAGAAGAUAAGCAAGUAGCUACAAGAAUAAAAGUGAAGAAGUAUUUUAUACCACUAUCAAAAGAUAUAAAAUUGGUGAAGUACUUAUCAAGUAUUCAUAGCCAUAGACAAUUGGAUCAUCAAAGAACACUAGCGUCCAAACUAAAAACCUCAUGGCAGCAGAAUACAACACAUACCGGUGAAAAUUAAUAUCCUUGUUGAGAAACUUCCAUGCAAUAGUAGUUUUGACAAAGACAAAGGAGCCAUUAGGGAAGAAGAUUGAAUCGAAAAUUCCGAUACUCAUAAAAGACUGAACUAAAGAAACCUCAACAACAAACGGACAAAAAUAGCCUCUUCAUGAAAAGAAUAAUUCACUACCCUGUAAUCAAUGGUUGCAAUAACAGAAAGAAGGGAGCAGUUAAGUCCAAAUCUGACAAACCCCAAACCACCUAAGUAAUCACUAGAGAUGCCAUAGACGAGACUGAAAACACCCUUUUGUCAAAACCGCACAAUAUGUUAACUGCAAUGCAAGCACCAAAAAGAACAAAAACAGUGGCAGAGGAUCACAUGUUGUUAACCAAGUUUUGAAAUUUUCAAAUCUAAAUGUCCAUAAAAGUGUUACCACAUGGUCUACACAUCCAACCACAAAAAAAAACUAUGUGAUGACGAAAAAGAAAUGGAAGCAGAGAAGAAACAUAAGUAGCUACAAGAAUAAAAGUGAAAUAAGUAUUUUACACCACUAUAAAAAGAUCUAGAACGAGUACUUAUCAAGUGUUCAUAGUCAUAGGAGACCUCAUCAAUUGGAUCAUCGAAAAAUGCAACUGUCUGGACUAAAAACUUCAUGGCAGCAAAAUAUAACAUAUACCAGUGAAAAUAAAUAUCUUUGUUGAGAAACUUCCCUACAACAAUAGUUUUGGCAAAGUCAAAGGAUUCAUUAGGGAAGAAAACUGAAUCGAAAAUCAGAAUACUCAUAAAAGACUUGACUAAAGAAACCUCAACAACAAACAGACGAAUAGGGCAGCCCCAUCAAAGAAUAAUUCACUACCUUGUAACCGAUGGCUGCAAGAAUAGAAAAAAGGGAACAGUUAAGGUUAAUUGCAAAUCCAAUGAACCCCAAACCACCAAAGUAAUCACUAGCCAAUCCAUAGAUGAGACUAAACCCCCCCCCUCCCCUCCCUUUUGUCAAAGUUCGGACAUUAUCCAGAUUGCAGUGCAAGCACCAAAAAGACCAAAAGGUGGCAGAGGAUCUCAUGUUGGUCAACCACGCUUCGAAUUUUCCAAAUCUGAACAUCCAUAACAGAAUCACCAUUACACAUCCACCCAACAAAAAAAAAAACUAGUGUGAUAAUGAAAAAAAAUGGAACCUGAGAAGAUAAGUAAGUAACUACAAGAAUAGAAGUGAAUAAGUGUUUUACGCCACUAUCAAAAGGUCUAGAAAUAGUUGAGUACUUUUCAAGAAACAUAGACAUAGGAGACCUCAUCAAUUGGAUCAUCGAAGAAAAUAAGUGUCUAGACUUAAAACUUCAUGGCAGUAGAAUACAACACAUUGCGGUGAAAAUUAAUAUCCUAUUUGAGAAACUUCCAUACAACAGUAGUUUUGACAAACACAAAGGAGUCAUUGGGGAAUAAACUGAACCGAGAAUCUCGAUACUCAUAUAAGACUUAACUAAAGAAACGUCAACAACAAGCAGAUAAACACAGCCUCUCCACGUAAAGAAUAAUUCACUGCCAUAUAACCAAUGGAUGAAAGAACUACAAAAAGGCAACAGUUAAGUGCAAAUUUGACUAACCCAAAACCACAAUGGUAAUCACUAUAGAUGCCAUAGACGAAGCUGAAAACCCUCUUUUGCCAAAGCCCGGACAGCAUCAAAUUGCAGUGCAAGCACCAAAAAGACCAAAAGGUGAGAGAGGAUCACAUGUUGGUUAACCAAACUUUGAAAUUUCCAAAUUUGAACGUCCAUAACAGUGUUACCACAUGGUCUACACAUCUAUACAACCAAAAAAGCUAGUCUGAUAACGGAAAAAAAUGGAAGCAGAGAAGAUCAGAAGCUAAAAGAACAAAAGUAAAAAAAGUAUUUUAUGCAACUAUCAAAAGAUCAAGAAGGGGCCAAAAUACUUAUCAGGUGUCCAUAGUCAUAAAAGACCUCAUCAAUUGGAUCAUUGAAGAACAUAAGCAUGCGGACAUAGAAAUUCAUGGAAGCAUAAUACAACACACAUGUGAAAAUAAUGUCCUAAUUGAGAAACUUCCAUACAACAGUAGUUUUGACAAAAACAAAGGAGUCACUAGGGAAGAAACUGAAUUGAAAAUUAUCCCUCAUCAAUUGGAUCAUCGAAGAACAUAAGUGUGAGGGCUUAGAACCUCAUGGCAGCAGAAUACAACACACCGUCUGGUGAAAAUAAUUUCCUAAUUGAGAAACUUAUAUAAACCAGUAAGUUUUGACAAAGACAAACAAGUCAUUAGGGAAGAAAACUGAAUUGAAAAUUAUCUCUACUCAUAAAAGACUGAACUAACGAAACCUCAUCACAUAUGGGCGAAUAAGGUCAUCCCAUGAAAAGAAGAAUUUGUUGCUUUGUAAGACCCAAUGGCUACAAGCAAAGGAAUGAAGGAAAGAGUUACGUGCAAAGCUGAUGAAACCCACUACAAAACGCCACAGACAAGAUUGCAAAACCCCUCUCUCGGAGCCUGAUAAUAUUGAGAUUGCAGUGCAAGGAUAAAAAUGGCAAAGAAACAAGAUAGGAAAAUCCCUCUAUCAAUGCCUGACAAAAUUCAGAUUGGUGAGAAAGAACAAAUUUGCAAAGAAACAGGGUGCAUAGGAGCAAACACUAACUAUCAAAGCCUGAUCACAUCAUCAAUCUUUGAAAAAAUUCCAACUCUAAUCCAACAAACAAAAUCAAGCUCGGGUGACAAUGCAACAAGAAACAAGAAGCUGAGAAAAUACCAAAAGUAAGGGAGUAACAAAGACCCACUUCAAAGGGCUUUCAAGAGAUCCAUGAUUGAUUUUUGAAAGCCCUUUGAAAGCAUGUCUGCUUUUCGUGUGCAUGUCUUUUCGUGUGCAUGUCUGCUUUCUUGUUCUCAGAUGCUACAUAACGGCUCUUUAACGCAUUCCCUAGCUGAAUAACUUAUCUUAGUCCGCCUUUUAGGUUCUUGCGCCUUAUCCGCCUCAUUGAGGCAAUUACCAGUCAACGUUAGUUGGAAUGUGAUCUUUGCCUUUUUUUCCACAUACUAAAGGCCCCUCUCUUUUUCCUUAUCGCCUUAGCGCAGACAGGAAAAUCGGCAUUUCGAAAACAAUUAAUAGAAGAAAGUUCCCAGAAUAUUCAGGAAGGAUGAAAGCCUUUAUCUUUGGGGACCUGUGUAAACUUGAAGGGCUAGGGAACUCCUUUAGCUCAAUAAUGAAAGUUAGGGUCGAUCGGAGGAGGCCUUACCUCUUAGAUGACCCAAGCAAGUCAUUAAGCUAUUGGAUGGAUCCUCCUAACUGUAGUUACUUAAGGUCGAGUAGUAGACGGGUGAGGCCCACAGUUCUAAUAGGUUUUCACUUGAGCUUUCCGCGGCAAAGCAAGUCUACAAGCCACUGCAGUGAGGUUAUAGGUCUGAUUUCUUUCUCGUAUUGAGAUCUUAGAAUGCUAUACGCAGCCCCCCUGCAAGGUUACUUUAGAUAGCGGUAUUUUCUGUAUAAGAUUGGCAUCCCCAUUCUAAGGUUACUUAGUAGCCUUUAUUCCCAUCCCGCGUAAGAACAUAGGUUUUUUCCCUCAGUUUCUGCUCUCCUUGCUUUAACUAAAGAACUACUUUUCACUUUAAGUAGGACUCUAAGAGCUCUACCUUAGAAUGAGUUAGAUUUCCUGUGUUAACAAGAAGGAAUGGCGGGACGCUAAAGAGAUGGCUAUGAGACUAGUGCAAUCAGGUAAUCGACCAAGUAAUCCACAUACAUGAUAAAAGAGCAUUCCAGCCCUAGUGUACUUAUCCACUGGCAUUGAAGGAGAAGAAUGACAAGGUCUGCUUCCACAGUAAGGAUUGCCGCUUAGUCCAAUCCAAGAGCAAACAAGGGACGCCUCAUUAAGCAAGAACCCGAGCUAAGAGCGGGGCAGUUCAAUUAAGGUAUAGAGAAAGCUCCAAGCAGCUACCAUUGAUCAACCUUAUUCAGGCACAUCAAUCAAAGAUCUUGCUUACCGGAUAACUUUCCUGGUGAAGGAGAGAAAGUUUGACAAGCUAAGAAAGUCUCGUUGAAAGCAGGAACUCAGACUGUGACGACUAUUUUCACUAGUUUCAAAGGCUUGAUUGACCCUUGGGAUUGAAUCUGGCUAGGGGGUGCCCUCGUAAAGACUAAAACCUCGUUACGCCGAAAAUAGUAGAGGUGCGACAGCGCUUUGGUAGUGAGUGGAAACUUACUUUCUGUCUGGUUAGUAGGAAUUUCUUGCCUGCUAAGGGAUUAGUCCAAGUUAGACCGAGAAGUAAGAGUUUGUAAUUGAAGUCGGGGGGGCUGAAUAGAGAAAUUCUCUUCCCACGUAGCGCUAAGAAGCAAGUUCCGACAGCCUAUGAUGAAAUAGCACAAAACAAAAAAGGGCUACGCGAAUAAUAGUGUUAGUAGUUCGUGAGGCUAAUUUUGAGCUAGAUAGUGGAUUGAUGUUCACUGUAGCACUAUCUGACCUUGAAGGUUAAGUUAGUGUACCAUGAACUCCAUCCCACAUAUUUUGGAUGCUGUGGCAUCAGUUAUCUAGCUACAUUCUAUUACCGGUUGACACCAUUUUGCAAAACUUUGAUUCCGGUUACUGCUUGUUAAAUUCCGUUAGGUUCUUUGUCAAAUACUAACAGAUUUUAAUCCAUAUUCUUUGGGGGUCUAACUUUGGUUGUUCUUUCCUUCGAGCUAAGAUAGACCCUAUCAAAAACUAGUUCCAGAAGCAUCUUCCAUUCAUCUCGACCUAGACUGAUCUUUGUUCUGAUGAUGAUAAACCAUCAUCAAUUUGUAUAGUAUAUAUACCCCCAAGCCCUCUUUUUGUACCAUUUUUUUCUUUCUAAAAGAGGGCCUGGAACUGGGCUCUCUUCACAGCCCCUAAAGGCGUUAGGAAGAGAUUUAAUACUCACUCAUCAACCACAAUGAAUCUCAUUAAUUGGAUCAUCAAAGAACAUAAGCAUCUAGAUAAAAACUAAAAAAGGUAGCAGAAUACAACACAAACGAGCGCAAGAAAACCUAUUUUAGUUGGGAACUUCCAUACAACAACAUUUUUUAAUAAAGAGAGGAAGCACUUUGAUUGGGGAAGAAAAUUGAAAUGAGAAUCUCAGUACUCAUAAAACCCUGCUCAUUAAGACCCAACUGCAAGCACAAAAAGAAGGGAACAGUUAAGUGCAAAGCUGACAAAAUCCAUAAUACCUAAGAAAUCACUAUAGAUGCAAGAGACAAGAUUGAAAACCACAGCUUUGGUCGAAGCAGAACAAUAUCCAUCACCAAAAAGACCAAGAAACAAGGUGUACAGGAAUUCAAAACGGAUACACGCCAUAGAAGUUUCCAAAACUAAUAAUCUUUAACUGUCACCACGUGGUCUACACAUUUAUCACCAAUAAAAAAAAUAAAGUUGGCAUGAUAACCAAGGGAAAACGACAAAGAAGAUAAGUACCUAGAUACAAAAAGCAAAUGAGCACUUUACAGCACUAGCUACGAUCCAUAAUUGACUUUUGACUCUGUCUGAUGCCCAUAACACGAUAAAAGACAUCAGGAUCAUUAAAGAACGUGAGCAUCUGAACUAAGAACUAAAACUGGCAGCAGAACACACUUGUGAAAAGAAUUAUCAUAGUUGAGAACUUCCAUAUCGUACCCAUUUAGACAAAGCUUUGAAAGAAUGAAAAUCCAAUAUACCUAUAGUAAACGACCCGGGAACUGAUGCAUCUUCCCCAACCACAAACACCGAAGCAAGACACUUAUUCCUGUAGAACCACUUGCACCUAAAUGCCCAUCCAUGUAUUCUUGACAGCUAAAAAUGACAUACACUGAUGACCAAAGCAAAUAAGAAGGUAAAAGAAUUUGAUGCGAAGAGAGACAUGAUUAGCAUUAGCAUUAAAGAUGGAAGUCAAGAUAUCAAAUCCAAACUGAUAGCUCCACUGUAUGAUUGUGACACAUAGGUCUAGAAUAAAAGAUCCAAGUAGGCAUGUCUGGGGAGCCAAUUUCCAGUAUUCUGAUUCAACAAAAGGAAAUUGAUGUGCUUCAUAGUAGUAAAUAGGGUGAUAGAACAAUGCUCACCAACAUAUGAAUUCUCACAACAAAGACCUCAGAAUUUCCCAAAACAUGGAAGCAAACAUGAAAUUGCAUUUAUAGUCACCAGCUUCCAAUUUCUAAUAACAUUGGAAAUCAAUCAAAAGGAUUGAAAUUAUAAACUACCACUAUAAUACACAAUAUAUUGGAGUCCAAGCCCCAAAAAGACCAAAAAACAAAGUGUACAAGAAUGCAUACGAGAUACAAGCCUCUGAACAAAACUAAUCCACUAUUAAUAUCACCAUGUGGUCUACAUAUCCAUUCACCAAUACAAAAUCAAGCUGGCAUGAUAACCAAGGAAAACGGCAGAGAAGAUAAGUUGCUAGGACACAAAAAGCAGAGAAGCACUAUCAAAGAUUCCAAAUUGACUUUUGACUUUAUCUGGUGCCCAUAACACCAUAGAAGAUAUCGGAUCAUCAAAAAACAUGACCAUCUAAACUAAAAAUGGCAGAGCAGACCACACUAUACACACUUGUGAAAAGAAUUAUCAUAGUUGAGAACUUUCAUACCGUACUAGUUUUAAUAAAGGUUUGAGAGACUGAAAAAUCCAAGACCUAUAGUCAAAGGCUUGGGAACUGCUGCAUCUUUCCCAACCACAAACACCGAAGCAAGACACUUAUUCAUGUAGAACCACUUGCACCUAGAUGCCCCAUCCAUGUAUUCUUGACAGCUAAGAAUGACAUUUACUGAUGACCAAACCAACUAAGGAGCUAAAAGCAGUUGAUGUGAGGAGACACGUGAUUAGCAUCAAAAUUAACAUUCAAGAUGGAAGUCAAGAUAUCAAAUCCAAACUGAUAGGUCAAUUGUAUGGUUGUGACACAUAAGUCCACAAUAGAAGAUCCAAGUAGGCAUGCCUGGAGAGCUAAAUUUCCAGUCCUAACAAGCGAAAAGUCAGGAAGGUAGAACCCUUAAUCCUUUCAAGAAUGUAAUUAUCUUUAAUAUUAAGGGUCAAUUUAAAACCUUUAUAUAGUAGAUUAAAAGGAAGAAUAGACUCAUAUGAAAGUUCCGUAGAAAAAAUUAUUGUAGUUGUUCGUUGAAUACACUCUUGCUCACGAAUCUGCUGUGUACACGUAUUCUGAAUCAAUCAAAAGGAUUGCAAUUAUAAACUCCCACUAUAAUACCCAAGAAAAUGAGAACAAAUAAAUAAAUAAACUACACAUGAAGGAAAGCAAGGAUACGAAUAUUUGGUAACUGACAGAAGGUAACAACAAGUGUAGAAGGAGAAUCAUGAAAUACACUGGAAGGUACCUAUAACCAUUCCCCUAUCAUCAUUACCCAUACCUAAUCAAACAAACAACAAUAACGAAUCGAUAAAUUGGCCAAGAAAAAAGAUCAACAGCUCCCAAAACCCCCCCUAACAUUCAUCUUCUGACCUUAGCUUGUCUACAGAGAUAAUCAAAGAUUCGAAAAUCAGAAAUGAGAAACCUACACCCCAUAUCAAAAGAUUCGUAAACCAAGAUUCGAAAGUAGAUAACGUGAGAUUUAUAUAAUUCUGAGAUAACCAAGAAAUAAAAAAUGGAUCACCAUAAGAACAUAAGCAUCUAAACUAAGAACAUCAUGGCAGUAGAAUAAAACACACAUUGGUGAAAAUAAUGUCCUAAUUGAGAAACUACCAUACAACAGAAGUUAUGACAAAGACAAAGGAAUCAAUAGGGAAGAAAAAUUGGAAAUUAUCUAUACUCGUAAAAGACUGACUAACAAGACCUCAACACAUUUGGGCAAAUAAGGUACCUCCAUGAAAAGAAGAAUUCACUGCUUUGUAAGACCCAAUGGCUGCAAGCAAAGGAAUGAAGGGAAGAGUUACGUGCAAAGCUGACAAAAUCUACUAGAAAAUGCCACAGACAAAUUUAAAAAACCCUCUCUAAGCCUGAAAAUAUUCAGGUUGCAAUGCACACAUAAAAAUGGCAAAGAAACGAGAUUGGAAAACCCCUCUAUUGAAGCCUGAUUAUAUUCAGAUUGUAGUCCAAGCACAAAAAUAGCAAGAAGCAGCGUGCACAGAAACGGCCACUGGGCAUCAACCUUCAACUAUCAUCCAUCCAACAAACAAAAUCAAGCUUGGGUGAUGCAAGAAAAAGGAAGCUGAGAAGUUAAGGCAGAGAGAACAACAAAAGAGAGGGUCUAACAGGGAUCCACUUGUACGGGCUGUCAAAAGAUCCAGGAUUGAGUUUUGAGUAUUUAUCAGGUGUCGAUAAGACCAUAUAACCAUCAACCACCAGGAUCUCAUCAACUGGAUCAUCGAACAACAUACACAUCAAUUUUUAGCUGGAAAGUUCCAUACAACACACGUGAGUGCAAGAGAAACUAUUUUAGCUGGCAAGUUCCAUACAACAACAAUUUUUGACAAAGAGGAGGGGCCACUCUGAUUGGGGAAAAAAACUGAAAUGAGUAUUGAGUAUCUCCAGUACUCAUUAAACCUCAACACAAAUGGCCAAACAAAGCCUCUUCCAUGAAAAGAAUAAUUCACUGCUCGGUAAAACUCAACUGCAAGCACAAAAAGAAGGAACAACUAUGUGCUGAAAAAACACAUAUACCUCAGAAAUCACUAGAGAUGCAAGAGAGCCUAACAAUAUCCAUCACCAUGUGGUGCACAUGGAUGCAUACCGGAUAAGCCUUAGAAGUUUCCAAAUUAAUCCUCUGUCACUGUCACCAUGUGGUCUACAAAUUCAUUCAUCAAUAAACAAAUAUCAAUCUGACAUGAUAACCAAGGGAAAACAGUGAGAAGAUAAGUAGCAGAGGAGCACUUUACAACACUAUCAUCCGGUGUCCAUAACACCAUAAAAGACACCAGAAUCAUCAAAGAACACGAGCAUUUGAAUUAACAACUAAAACUAGCUGGCACCAGAACACACAAUACACACUUGUGAAAAGAAUUAUCAUAGUUGAGAACUUACAUAUCGUACCAAUUUUGAACAAAGCUUUGAGAUACUGAAAAUCAAAAACCUUUAGUUGCAUACCUGGGAACUGCUGGAUCUUUCUUGACCACAAACACUGAAGCAAGACACUUGUUCCUGUAGAACCACUUGCACCUAGAUGCACACCUAGAGCCAAAUUUCCAACUCUACUUGUGUUCUGAUUCAACAAAAGGAAACUGCUAGAUUUCAGAGUAGUAAACAGGAUGACACUAACACAUGAAUUCUAAACAACAAAAACCUCAGAAUUAACAUUGACAUUAAGGUAACAGCAAAUGUAGAAGGAGAAUCAGUCUCCUACCAUCAUUACCCAUACCUGAUCAAACAAACAACAAUAAUUAGUCAAUAAAUUAGCAAAAAAAACCGCACUAAUUGCAAACAAAUCAAUAAAUUAGCCAAAAGAACAUAACUAAUUGCAAACUAAAUCACACUAAAAAGUCGAGAACUCCCAAAACCCCUAACCUUCCUUGCCCACAGAUUUGAAAAUCAGAAACCUACACCCCAUAUUAAAAGAUUCGAAAACCAAGAUGCGAAAUUAGAUAAUUUAUAUAAUUCUGAGAUGGCCAAGAAAUCAUAAAUCAAACCGAUAGCUCCCCUAAGGAAGGCAUCAUAUACAAUAAUUACCCAUAUCUUGAUUGACAAUAAUUACCCAGUAUCUUGAUCGACAAUAAUUACCCUAUCUUGAUCAUACAAUAAUACCCAUAUCUUGAUAGAUAAUAAUUACAUGUAUCUUGACCAUACAAUAAUACUCAUAUCUUGAUUAACAAUAAUUACCCGUAUCUUGACCAUACAAUAAUUACACUGUAUCUUGAUCAUACAAUAAUUACCUAUAUCUUGACCAUACAAUAAUUACCCAUGUGUUGAUCAACAACAAUUACCCACAACUUCAUCAAACAAUAGUUACCCAAUAUCAUCAUCAAUGAUAAUUACCCAGUAUCUUGAUCGAAUAAUUAUUACCCAGUGUUAUGAUCGACAAUAAUCAACAAUCAAACACUCCCUAUAUCCUCAAGAUACCAACGAAAUCAUUAAAAAACAGAGAACUAAAGCCAAAACGAACAGGGACGCAUAUCUUGAUUAAACAAUAUAAAUAAUUACCCAUCAUCUUGAUCAUACCAAUAGUUACCCAUAUCUUGAUCAACAAUAACUAUCCAUAGCAACAAUCAAACACGGCUUAUAUCCUCAAGAAUGAACACCAAAUAAUAGUAGAACUAAAGCUAAAACAAAUCGUAACUGAGAAAUUUGUUUCCUAGCAAGUCUAUUUAUGGCAACAAUAUUUCAAAGGGCGGUGGCAUUGGGUGGGUGCUUUUCAGAAUUAGUUUAGCCGCUAUAGCCAUUUAUAAAUUAG
rnacentral:lncRNA from 1 species